GACUCAGCUGGCACCCUCCCCCAUGUGCCAAAAGACCCACUGGCAGAAGGGUGUUGGAAGAGGCACAGCAGAAGCCAAAAGCUCUGUGAAUCCUGGGGUUGCAAGCCUAGGUGGAUGCUUACAAAGGUUCAGGUGCUUUCUUGCUUAUUUGUCCAAGGAAGUCCAACCUGCACGUACCUGUGUGGAUGAUGGAGACAGAGCCAGAGCAGAGGACACAGGGAGACAAUGCAUUUGCUUUGGAGGUGCAAGAAACCAGCUCUUUUAAGAAAAACUUUAAGAACAGAAUUACUGAAACUGCUUCACUUUCAAGCCAAAGAGAUGAACUUCUCAUCACAAGAAUUUUUCACGUGAUUCCCAGCCAAUGGGAGGGGUAGACAUUGGAGCAUUGGACAGAGACAAGAACAUGAGAACGGCUCUUGGCUUUGGCUGCGGCAGGCAACCCUUUCUUCAUGUUACACAGGAGCGGAAGGCCUCAGAGUGGGAGAAGUGAUGACCCUCUGCUGCCCCAAGAGUAGCACCAGAAGAUUCUCCCAGCCUCACGGAAAUUGCCUGAAAAUGCCCAUAGCCCUGCAGCCCAGCCUCUUCAGAUGCCUUGCUGGAGGAAUAGCUAAGGGAGCCCCUACCAUUUGCCUGAGGUCAGAAUCCUCAGAGGCCCAGCACCUGUGGACUUAUUUUUAACCCUUAUUUUAAAGUCUGGUUUCUAGUACCAUACCAGUACCAUCUCAAGUUGGUAGCCAUCUUCUUUCUCAGACAGGUCCUGAGUAUAGGUGCCUGGCCCACUCUCUGGUUCCAAUAAUCAGGACCUCUUGGUGGUCACUCUAUAAAUCAAUCCCCUGUCCAAUGGCUUGCUUUUCCAUGGAGGCUUAUUUUUCAUGGUCUUUUCCCCUCCCCCUCCUCUUUUGUCUCUUCCCAGGAAGAUCUGCUGCCUGACGUAGCUAUUGUAUUUGGAAAUGAGCCGCCUGGACUGAUGAAUAAAUUGCAUUUUAUCCCUCCCUGUCACUUCUGGUUGGGGAAGCAACUAGGAGAUGAAAGCAGAGACUUCAAAAGCACUUCUUCUGACAUGGAACAGACUUUCAUAUCUGAGUCUGCCUGUCCAUGUUAAACCCAGAGCCUUGGAAGCUUGGUGAGAGCCAGGUCUCAGCUAGCACAGAGAAUCCUGAUGGCCUCCCUGGUGGCUCAGCAUUGCCUUGAGGUCAAGCCUCUGGGGAUGGGCAUUUGGUGGCCACUGUCUUCACUGAAUCAGUGAAAGGGCAGAAAAACAUUCAAUUCUGGGCAAAACAAGCCGGUAGGAAGUGAUGCUGCCCUCCGCCAUGGCAGAAAUUGGUCACCUGCCUGAAAUAGCCCUGCCUGAGUAACUGAGCAUUUCUGUUUGUGCCAUGACAUCAAACCAGGUACAGCAAGCCCCAACACCAUUCCUUUGGGAAAAACUGUGAUGGAGUGGGUCCCCAGUGACUCUCUGAGGAUCCCCUGCACUGCCUGCCAUCUGCCUUUGUGCUCCAGGCUGAGCACACAGCCUAGGAUCUGCUUUUUUAAAAUAAAUGGGUACCUACUGGGGUUCAGAGACUUAGUAAUUAGUUCCCCAUCCAUCUGACCCAUUCACACCUGUUGAGUAGAGAAACUCUCCUUGAUCUCAGGUUCUGAAGAACAGAGCCUUCUCUAUUAUCCCUGUCUGGGGGUACCAAGUAUCUGGAACACCGAGACGCAAGUUGGCUUUGGAAGCACUUGCCAGAAUCAAAUCAGCUUGUCGUGGAAUCACAACAUUCAAGCACAGCUCGUGUCUUGUGAAAUCCUGACGAUUUCUGAGCACAUGCAGAAUGUAGUAGGUGUUAGGUGCAGAGUUGGGGGCCAGUAGAGACGGGGGCUCACAGGUUCAUUUUUGUGUUAGAAAACUGAAAGGUCAAAAUUAGCUUCUGUUCUAAGAGAAGCCAGAUAGAUAACAAGUAGCCUUUCACUUGGUCUCCAAGUCCUAGAAAUAAGGAGUGAUGGUGCCUGGUUCAUGAUUCUUGAGAAAACUGAGGUGGAAUCAUUUAAAAAGUGCCCAGUCGUAGUGCUGAUGCUCAGUGAACAGCUAUACCCACACGAGGGCAUAGCUUCAUGGAAAGUGCACUGACUCUGGAGAUGGAGGAUUCAGUCUUACAUCUCACUUCAGGAUCGGGGGCAAAUAAUUUACUGUAAAAGUAACAGGCCACCAUCACUAGAUACCAUUUGUUAAGUGUUUAAUAUGUACUCUGGUACUGUGGUACGAUCUCAUUAUUCCUCACAAGGGGUAAAUCACUUGAUGAGACUUAAAGUCAGCUUUCAUGAACUUAGUCCAUACUUAUAACCACUGCAAUCUCUUCUCCAUUCAGUCUCCCUUAAUUUCCCUGAGCCUCAGUUUCCUCAGUUGUAAAAUGGGGUGAUAAUGUCCAUUUUACAUGUUUACAAUAAAAAAUGAAGAAGAUAACAUGUAUGGCUCUUAACCAAUAAAACUUUUCCUACUAUUUAACCACUUCUGGAAGGAAUACUUCCUAUUAGCAAUUGCAGAGUGCAG